UACGUAGGGGGCAAGCGUUGUCCGGAUUUAUUGGGCGUAAAGAGCGUGUAGGCGGCCAUGUAGGUCCGUUGUGAAAACUCGAGGCUCAACCUCGAGACGCCGAUGGAAACCAUGUGGCUAGAGUCCGGAAGAGGAGAGUGGAAUUCCUGGUGUAGCGGUGAAAUGCGCAGAUAUCAGGAGGAACACCAAUGGCGAAGGCAGCUCGCUGGGACGGUACUGACGCUGGAGACGCGAAAGCGUGGGGAGCAAACAGG
rnacentral:rRNA from 1 species